AGAGCGAACGCUGGCGGCAGGCUUAACACAUGCAAGUCGAGCGGGCGUAGCAAUACGUCAGCGGCAGACGGGUGAGUAACGCGUGGGAACAUACCUUUUGGUUCGGAACAACCCAGGGAAACUUGGGCUAAUACCGGAUAAGCCCUUACGGGGAAAGAUUUAUCGCCGAAAGAUUGGCCCGCGUCUGAUUAGCUAGUUGGUGAGGUAACGGCUCACCAAGGCGACGAUCAGUAGCUGGUCUGAGAGGAUGAUCAGCCACAUUGGGACUGAGACACGGCCCAAACUCCUACGGGAGGCAGCAGUGGGAAUAUUGGACAAUGGGCGCAAGCCUGAUCCAGCCAUGCCGCGUGAGUGAUGAAGGCCCUAGGGUUGUAAAGCUCUUUUGUGCGGGAAGAUAAUGACGGUACCGCAAGAAUAAGCCCCGGCUAACUUCGCGCCAGCAGCCGC
rnacentral:rRNA from 1 species